AUUGAACGCUGGCGGAAUGCUUUACACAUGCAAGUCGAACGGCAGCACGGGUGCUUGCACCUGGUGGCGAGUGGCGAACGGGUGAGUAAUACAUCGGAACGUACCCUGACGUGGGGGAUAACGUAGCGAAAGUUACGCUAAUACCGCAUACGUCCUGAGGGAGAAAGCAGGGGAUCGUAAGACCUUGCGCGUUAGGAGCGGCCGAUGGCGGAUUAGCUAGUUGGUAGGGUAAAGGCCUACCAAGGCGACGAUCCGUAGCGGGUCUGAGAGGACGACCCGCCACACUGGAACUGAGACACGGUCCAGACUCCUACGGGAGGCAGCAGUGGGGAAUUUUGGACAAUGGGCGAAAGCCUGAUCCAGCCAUUCCGCGUGCAGGAUGAAGGCCCUCGGGUUGUAAACUGCUUUUGUACAGAACGAAAAGGUUUCUACUAUACUAGGAGCUCAUGACGGUACUGUAAGAAUAAGCACCGGCUAACUACGUGCCAGCCGCCGCCGUAA
rnacentral:rRNA from 1 species